UACGGAGGGUGCGAGCGUUAAUCGGAAUUACUGGGCGUAAAGCGCAUGCAGGCGGCCUACUAAGUCAGAUGUGAAAUCCCUGGGCUCAACCUAGGAAUGGCAUUUGAAACUAGUAAGCUAGAGUCUCGUAGAGGAGGGUAGAAUUCCAGGUGUAGCGGUGAAAUGCGUAGAGAUCUGGAGGAAUACCAGUGGCGAAGGCGGCCCUCUGGACGAAGACUGACGCUCAGAUGCGAAAGCGUGGGGAGCAAACAGG
rnacentral:rRNA from 1 species